GACGAACCGUGCGAACGUUAUUCGGAAUCACUGGGCUUAAAGCGCGUGUAGGCGGGUCGGUGCGUCCGGCGCUGAAAUCCCCCCGGCUCAACCGGGGAACGGGCGCGGAUACGGCCGGCCUGGAGGGACGUAGGGGGAGCUGGAACUUCCGGUGGAGCGGUGAAAUGCGUUGAGAUCGGAAGGAACGCCCGUGGCGAAAGCGAGCUCCUGGACCAGCACCGACGUUCAGGCACGAAAGCGUGGGGAGCAAACAGG
rnacentral:rRNA from 1 species